CGUUGGAUCAAGCGUUUUAAGGGCAUUUGGUGAAUGCCUUGGCGCACAGAGGCGAUGAAGGACGUGGCACGCUGCGAUAAGCCACGGGGAGGGGCGAGCACCCUUUGAUCCGUGGAUUUCCGAAUGGGGAAACCCGACCCUUUAGGGUCAUCCUCUGCUGAAUACAUAGGCAGAGGAAGCAAACCCGGUGAACUGAAACAUCUCAGUAACCGGAGGAAAGGACAUCAACCGAGACUCCGUUAGUAGUGGCGAGCGAACGCGGACCAGGCCAGUGGCCAGAGAGUAAGAACCGGAAGCGUCUGGAAAGGCGCGCCAUAGUGGGUGACAGCCCCGUACGGGUAGAAAGCUCUUUGGUCCUCGAGUAGGGCGGGACACGUGAAAUCCUGCCUGAACGUGGGGGGACCACCCUCCAAGCCUAAGUACUCCUGUGCGACCGAUAGUGAACCAGUACCGUGAGGGAAAGGUGAAAAGCACCCCGAUGAGGGGAGUGAAACAGAUCCUGAAACCGAAUGCCUACAAUCUGUGGGAGCCCCCUUGAGGGGUGACCGCGUACCUUUUGUAUAAUGGGUCAGCGAGUUAAUUUUGCGAGCAAGCUUAAGCCGUUAGGUGUAGGCGUAGCGAAAGCGAGUCUUAAUAGGGCGACCUAGUUCGUAGGAUUAGACCCGAAACCAGGUGAUCUAGCCAUGAGCAGGCUGCAGGUGGGGUAACACCCACUGAAGGGCCGAACCCACUGAUGUUGAAAAAUCACGGGAUGACUUGUGGCUAGGGGUGAAAGGCCAAUCAAACCUGGAGAUAGCUGGUUCUCCGCGAAAACUAUUUAGGUAGUGCGUCGAGUAUUACCUUCGGGGGUAGAGCACUGGAUGGGCUAGGGGGCCGCGAGGCUUACCAAACCUAACCAAACUCCGAAUACCGAAGAGUAGAGCUCGGCAGACAGACCAUGGGUGCUAAGGUCCAUGGUCGAAAGGGAAACAGCCCAGACCGCCAGCUAAGGUCCCUAAGUUAUGGCUAAGUGGGAAAGGAUGUAGGAAGGCCAAGACAACCAGGAAGUUGGCUUAGAAGCAGCCAUCUUUUAAAGAAAGCGUAACAGCUCACUGGUCUAGUUAAGCCGUCCCGCGCCGAAGAUGUACCGGGGCUCAAGCCAUACACCGAAGCUGCGGCUUGACGUUCGACUUGUCGAACGUCAGGGGUAGCGGAGCGUUCCGUAAGCCUGCGAAGGGGUUCUCGUGAGAGGCCCUGGAGGUAUCGGAAGUGAGAAUGCUGACAUGAGUAGCGACAAAGAGUGUGAGAAACACUCUCGCCGAAAGUCCAAGGGUUCCUGCGCAAGGCUAAUCCGCGCAGGGUGAGUCGGCCCCUAAGGCGAGGGCGAAAGCCGUAGUCGAUGGGAACCAGGUUAAUAUUCCUGGACCUGUGGGUGGUGACGAAUGGUGUAAGUUGUUCGGGCUUAUUGGAUUGUCCGGGCGGCGAAACUGUUCCAGGAAAUAACCCCCACGUGAGACCGUACCCGAAACCGACACAGGUGGACAGGUAGAGCAUACCAAGGCGCUUGAGAGAACGAUGCUGAAGGAACUCGGCAAAUUGCCCCCGUAACUUCGGGAGAAGGGGGCCCCAUAUCUGGGCAACCAGGUGUGGGGGGCACAGACCAGGGGGUGGCGACUGUUUAUUAAAAACACAGGGCUCUGCGAAGCCGUAAGGCGACGUAUAGGGUCUGACGCCUGCCCGGUGCCGGAAGGUUAAAAGGAGCGGUGAGAGCUGCGAAUUGAAGCCCCGGUAAACGGCGGCCGUAACUAUAACGGUCCUAAGGUAGCGAAAUUCCUUGUCGGGUAAGUUCCGACCUGCACGAAUGGCGUAACGACUUCCCCACUGUCUCCAGCAUCGACUCAGCGAAAUUGAAUUGCCCGUGAAGAUGCGGGCUACCCGCGGUCAGACGGAAAGACCCCGUGCACCUUUACUACAACUUUGCAGUGGCAUUAGAACAGGCAUGUGUAGGAUAGGCGGGAGGCUUUGAAGCUCGGGCGCUAGCUCGGGUGGAGCUACCCUUGAAAUACCGCCCUUAUCUUUUCUGAUGUCUAACCGCGGUCCGUGAAACCGGAUCCGGGACCCUGCAUGGUGGGUAGUUUGACUGGGGCGGUCGCCUCCUAAAGAGUAACGGAGGCGCGCGAAGGUAGGCUCAAGCUGGUCGGAAAUCAGCUGUUGAGUGCAAUGGCAUAAGCCUGCCUGACUGCGAGAGCGACAGUUCGAGCAGAGACGAAAGUCGGUCAUAGUGAUCCGGUGGUCCCGCGUGGAAGGGCCAUCGCUCAACGGAUAAAAGGUACGCCGGGGAUAACAGGCUGAUCUCCCCCAAGAGUCCACAUCGACGGGGAGGUUUGGCACCUCGAUGUCGGCUCAUCACAUCCUGGGGCUGGAGCAGGUCCCAAGGGUUUGGCUGUUCGCCAAUUAAAGUGGUACGUGAGCUGGGUUUAGAACGUCGUGAGACAGUUCGGUCCCUAUCUGCCGUGGGUGUUCGAGACUUGAGAGGAUCUGUCCCUAGUACGAGAGGACCGGGAUGGACGUACCUCUGGUGGACCGGUUGUCGCGCCAGCGGCACAGCCGGGUAGCUAAGUACGGAAGGGAUAACCGCUGAAAGCAUCUAAGCGGGAAACCCCCCUCAAAACCAGGUCUCGCCUAAGAGCCGUGGUAGACCACCACGUCGAUAGGAGGCAUGUGGAAGUGCAGCAAUGCAUGAAGCUGAGCCUUACUAAUCGCUCGAUCGGCUUGAUCCUCCUCGCGC
rnacentral:rRNA from 1 species